rnacentral:rRNA from 1 species
UACUCCGGUAGUCACCUGCGGAGGGAUCAUUACACAAAUAUGAAGGCGGGCUGGAACCUCUCGGGGUUACAGCCUUGCUGAAUUAUUCACCCUUGUCUUUUGCGUACUUCUUGUUUCCUUGGUGGGUUCGCCCACCACUAGGACAAACAUAAACCUUUUGUAAUUGCAAUCAGCGUCAGUAACAAAUUAAUAAUUACAACUUUCAACAACGGAUCUCUUGGUUCUGGCAUCGAUGAAGAACGCAGCGAAAUGCGAUAAGUAGUGUGAAUUGCAGAAUUCAGUGAAUCAUCGAAUCUUUGAACGCACAUUGCGCCCUUUGGUAUUCCAAAGGGCAUGCCUGUUCGAGCGUCAUUUGUACCCUCAAGCUUUGCUUGGUGUUGGGCGUCUUGUCUCUAGCUUUGCUGGAGACUCGCCUUAAAGUAAUUGGCAGCCGGCCUACUGGUUUCGGAGCGCAGCACAAGUCGCACUCUCUAUCAGCAAAGGUCUAGCAUCCAUUAAGCCUUUUUUUCAACUUUGACCUCGGAUCAGUAGAUCCAUC